GAUGAACGCUGGCGGCGUGCCUAAUACAUGCAAGUCGAGCGAAUGGAUUAAGAGCUUGCUCCUAUGAAGUUAGCGGCGGACGGGUGAGUAACACGUGGGUAACCUGCCCAUAAGACUGGGAUAACUCCGGGAAACCGGGGCUAAUACCGGAUAAUAUUUUGAACUGCAUGGUUCAAAAUUGAAAGGCGGCUUCGGCUGUCACUUAUGGAUGGACCCGCGUCGCAUUAGCUAGUUGGUGAGGUAACGGCUCACCAAGGCAACGAUGGGUAGCCGACCUGAGAGGGUGAUCGGCCACACUGGGACUGAGGUACGGCCCAGAAGCCUACGGGAGGCAGCAGUAGGGAAUCUUCCGCAAUGGACGAAAGUCUGACGGAGCAACGCCGCGUGAGUGAUGAAGGCUUUCGGGUCGUAAAACUCUGUUGUUAGGGAAGAACAAGUGCUAGUUGAAUAAGCUGGCACCUUGACGGUACCUAACCAGAAAGCCACGGCUAGCUACGUGCCAGCCGCCGCGGUAA
rnacentral:rRNA from 1 species